rnacentral:rRNA from 1 species
UACGUAGGGUGCAAGCGUUAAUCGGAAUUACUGGGCGUAAAGCGUGCGCAGGCGGUCUUGCAAGACAGAUGUGAAAUCCCCGGGCUUAACCUGGGAACUGCAUUUGUGACUGCAAGGCUGGAGUACGGCAGAGGGGGAUGGAAUUCCGCGUGUAGCAGUGAAAUGCGUAGAUAUGCGGAGGAACACCGAUGGCGAAGGCAAGCCCCUGGGCCUGUACUGACGCUCAUGCACGAAAGCGUGGGGAGCAAACAGG